AGGCACGUAGCUCAGGGGGAGAGCGCUACCCUGACACGGUAGAAGUCGGGAGUUCAAAUCUCCCCGUGCCUACCA
rnacentral:tRNA from 4 species